ACUCUUAAGAGAGGAUAAAUUGGAAUUUUGAGGUGCCCAUAUAUAAAUUUUUCAAUGCUGUUCAAUAUUAUCUGAUGAAAUUCACUUUGUUUUUUCAAGAAUGAACAACCUUAGCCUUGACAAAACCUCAACACCCAACCCCUUGUUGUCAAUUUCAUCUUUACACCAUUCAAGAAUCUCAAAAUCCCUUUGUUUACCCAGAAAAGUUCUUGUUUUUGCUGAUAAAAAUGAUAAUUCAGCCUCAAUAACUAGUGGGUUUCUGUCAAAAACUCAUUUUUCCUACAAAAAAGUAACUGUUUUUGCUGAUAAAGAUGACAAUUCAAGUCCAGUAGCAAGUGGGGUUUUGUCAAGAACACAUUUUUCCUCCAAAAAAGUUGCUGUUUUUGCCUCUAAAGAUGAUAAUUUUAGCUCAAUAACAAGCGGGGUUUUGUCAAGAACUGUUUUUUCCUCCAGAAAGACAAAGAAAUUUGUUGUUUUUGCUUCUAAAGAUGAUAGGAAUAGUAAUAAGCUUGACCAGUGGGACCAAAUGGAACUCAAGUUUGGCAGAUUAAUUGGUGAAGACCCAAAACUUACCUUAGCUAAGAUAAUUAGUAGGAAAACAAACCCGGAGACAUCUUAUCUUGAAAUUGAAGAGUCAUUUGAGCAGAAGAAGGGAAAAACGUCUGGUGAAACUGUGGAGGUUCCGUUUGAUGCAUCCAAGCAAAAGAAAUCUCUCAAUUCAUCAAAUGGAUUAAAUUUGGUUCGCCCUGUGCCCAAGAAGGGUGUUAAGUUCGAGGUUGAUGAAAAACAGCCAAAGACUGAGGGCUAUAAACAAAGUCAACCAAUUUCAAGACCUGAAGUAAGUAGAAAAAGUAGUGUUCCAAAUGUCAUACUGCGAAAGCCAAGUUUGUAUUCUGAGGAGGAUGAAUCAUCAAAAUUCAAAAUUAAGCCAAACUUGACACUGAAAAUGGGCAGAGAACUGAAACCUGAGAAGUUUAGUGAUGUUACAUUGUUGAAGAAGCCGGAACCAAUGAGGAUCAGCUCCGACGAUAGUGAAAAGAAUGGACAAUCAAGUGAUAAGUCUAGUGAUGCUACAUUGUUGAAGAAGCCAGAACCAAUGAGGAUCAGCUCCGAUGAUAGUGAAAAGAAUGGACAAUCAAGCGAUGUCUUGCCUGUAUCUAGUGAUGACUCCGAAGAUGCUAGUCUUACAGAGGUGUACGCAUCAAGUAGUGAACCCAAAAACAGCUUGCUUCUAAAUAAGCCAGAGCCUAGUAAUUUAAAUCUAAAGAUAGAUCCAAAUAAAGAAUCUUCCGAGGUUCAGCAUCCGAGUAUUUCGGAUGAAAGUACUUUCGAUGCUGCUAACUCUUCUUCUGAGCUUAUAAGUAUGGCAGAGAGUAAACUCCGCCAACCGUUACAAUCUAACAGAAGCAAUCCUCUUGAGAAGCAAGGCUUUGGUACAGGAUUCCAGCAGACUGAUACACAGCCCGCUGAGAGAAGUUCUGAUUCCAAUACACCUGCUGAAACUGGACCCAUGGAAUCUUUGGAUGCUGCUCUUCUUGGAAAACCGAAAAGAUUAGACCGACCUAAAAAGGAAGCAUCACGUGUUAGUCAGGAGGAUAUGCGUCCUGUCAAAUCUGAGGGCUAUGGAAAUGCUUCAGAGAUUGAAAACUUCCUGGCAAAAUCAUCCAUUAAGGAACAUGAAGACAAUGACUGGGUAAGAGCUGAAGAGCUUGUCAAGAGCGGAGGAAGAGAAGACGUGGAACUAGUCAGCUGUAGCACCAGAGGCUUUGUUGUAUCUUUUGGUUCCUUGAUAGGAUUUUUGCCAUAUCGCAAUCUUGCAGCCAGGUGGAAAUUCUUAGCUUUUGAAUCUUGGUUGAGGCAAAAAGGUUUGGAUCCAUCCCAAUACAAGCAAGGUCUGGGGAUCAUUGGAGGCUAUGAUGGUUUUGGCAAGGCAGCUUCUCCUGAGGCAGGAGUAGAUCCGCAAAUUGCUAAAAAUGCCGAUGAGGAGAUCUCGCCAGAUAUGAAACUUGAAGAUCUUCUCAGGAUUUAUGACCAAGAGAAACUCCAGUUCUUAUCAUCAUUUGUUGGUCUGAGGAUCAGAGUAAGUGUGGUGUUGGCUGACAGAUAUUCCAGAAGGCUAAUAUUCUCGUUAAAGGCAAAAGAAAAGGAAGAAUUGGUCGAGAAGAAGAAGAGCCUUAUGGCAAAACUUCAGGUUGGGGACGUGGUAAAAUGCUGUAUACAAAAAAUUACCUAUUUCGGUAUAUUUGUCGAGGUUGAAGGAGUACUUGCGCUAAUUCACCAGACAGAAGUCUCAUGGGAUGCCACUUUAGACCCUGCGUCGUAUUUUAAAAUUGGCCAGAUUGUGGAGGCAAAAGUUCACCAGUUAGACUUUUCACUUGAGCGCAUCUUCUUGUCAUUGAAGGAAAUAACGCCAGAUCCCAUGAUGGAGGCCUUAGAGGCUGUAGUUGGUGAUCCUGAUAAUUUGAAUGGAGAACUCCAAGCAUCAGAGCUGGAUACUGAGUGGCCUGACGUGGAAUCUCUUAUCAAAGAAUUAAAGCAGUUUGAGGGCAUCUCCUCUGUAUCAAAAGGGCGGUACUUCUUGAGCCCUGGUUUGGCUCCAACAUUUCAGGUUUAUAUGGCAUCCAUGUUUGAGAAUCAAUACAAGUUACUUGCGCGGUCGGGAAAUAGAGUACAAGAGGUUAUAGUGGAGACAUCAUUGAGUAAAGAGGAAAUGAAAUCUGCAAUUCAAUCUUGUACAAACAAAGUUGAAUAACCAAUCAAAGCGUAAUAAUAAACAAUACGAAGAGAGUGAUAGAUCUUCCCGUGGAGACAACGAACGGAUGGUAAGGGUCUGAUACCGAAUUAGCAAAGUCGGACGUUAGAACAGCAGAAACGGAGAAAAGAAAUGACCUAAACCGCGUUCUAUUUUGAACGAAAAUGGUUCAUGUUGAUGCAUUGUUCAUGCAAUUGUGUUUUCAUCUGGUAUUUGAUAAUGCAAUUUUGAAUAAUCCAAAACGGAUUGCAGCAAUAAUUUUUUGAUAGUCCGAGCAACAUAAUUCUUAUAAUGCUUAUAGCUUUAUUUGUAUCUAUCAGAAACAACUUCAUUACCUCUCAAGGUAAAGGGUAUACUCUAUCUUUUGUAGGAUUAUACGGAGUAUGUUGUUGUUGUAUGUAUUAGAAUGUAUAUUUUCUAGUGGA